AUUGAACGCUGGCGGCAUGCCUUACACAUGCAAGUCGAACGGCAGCACGGGGCAACCUGGUGGCGAGUGGCGAACGGGUGAGUAAUGCAUCGGAACGUACCUUUCAGUGGGGGAUAACGUAGCGAAAGUUACGCUAAUACCGCAUAUUCUGUGAGCAGGAAAGCAGGGGAUCGCAAGACCUUGCGCUGAUUGAGCGGCCGAUGUCAGAUUAGCUAGUUGGUGAGGUAAAGGCUCACCAAGGCGACGAUCUGUAGCGGGUCUGAGAGGAUGAUCCGCCCAACUGGAACUGAGACACGGUCCAGACUCCUACGGGAGGCAGCAGUGGGGAAUUUUGGACAAUGGGGGCAACCCUGAUCCAGCCAUGCCGCGUGAGUGAAGAAGGCCUUCGGGUUGUAAAGCUCUUUCGGCCGGGAAGAAAUCGCACGGGCUAAUACCCUGUGUGGAUGACGGUACCGGAAUAAGAAGCACCGGCUAACUACGUGCCAGCCGCCGCGGUAAUAC
rnacentral:rRNA from 1 species